rnacentral:rRNA from 1 species
UACAGAGGGGGCAAGCGUUGUCCGGAAUUAUUGGGCGUAAAGAGCUCGUAGGCGGUUUGUUGCGUCGGCUGUGAAAUCCCGAGGCUCAACCUCGGGUCUGCAGUCGAUACGAGCAAACUAGAGUGUUGCAGGGGAGACUGGAAUUCCUGGUGUAGCGGUGAAAUGCGCAGAUAUCAGGAGGAACACCGAGUGGCGAAGGCAGGUCUCUGGGCCGAUACUGACGCUGGAGGAGCGAAAGCGUGGGGAGCGAACAGG